AAUGUAUCUUUAGAAUACAUCAACUUUUCCUUUUUAUAUUGAAUUUAUUUGCAAAUUAAAUAUCUCCUAUUUACAGUUUGAAACAACUGAAUCUAAGGUAAGGCUAUGAAAAAUUGCUAGAAAAUGUAUUAGAACAAAAUAAAAUGCUAUGUUUAACUUCACAUAAAAUCUGUGAUGUGAAAACUAUUAAGGAAGGUAAAUAAAAUGCUAGGGAUAAAAUUUUUUCAUUUCAAGUUUGUGUUGUGAAGAUUUAUAUUGCAAGAAAAUCACCCUC
rnacentral:lncRNA from 1 species